GCAUGGAUUUGGGUUAGAUUUUAAAUGGAUUGCUUUGAAUAUCAUUUACAUUUGACACAGGUUUCUCUUUACAGUUUCAGAGAAUGCGUAGCUAAUUGCGGCUGGCUAUUCAGCAUUAGGGAUUCACUUCGAAAAUAAAUAAUAAUUAAUAUACCCAAUUCUGCUGAAUUUUAAUUAAUUAGUGUUAUAAUUUCCAUGUCUGAUUCUUAAAUAUAUCAGUAAUUCAAGGGUUAUGUGACAUUGUUCCAGAGGGAUGCAUCUCCCUUCCACCCCUCACCGAAAAUCUCCACAUUUCCGGGACAGGGAUUUGAAUGGGACGUCCACCUGCUGCCCAGUCACUGCCGCUCAAGACCUGGGGACGUUUCAGGGAUGCUCCUGGUCUGGGGAUGCCAUGGGAACUCUGGGACAUCGUCAAGACAUCCAGGGGACUCCAAGGAUUUUACCAUCCAUCCCUGGGACAUAGACGUCUCCCAUGGCAAUAAAAAAUUCAGUAUUUUAAAAAAAAUAAAAAAUGUUCUCGAUUUGCAUGCUACAAACCUUAACCCUAAGCAUUCACAAAAACCUUAUAAUUAGGCAUAUAAGCCUUAUUUCAAAUCACUUAUUAAGAUUUAGAAUAGAUAUCAUAGGCCGAUAAGGCAACAGUUAGAGAAAAUUUGCCAGUUUUCCUCCUUUGCUGAGGUACAUAGUUGCUACAUGUUUUAUAAGUCAAGAAAUUUCGGCUAUGGAUUAUUCUUGCAAUAACUGAUUUAUCUUUCGUCCACUUGUUUAUCUUGAUUUAAUUUUUCCUACAAUUAUGUUUAUGACUUUCUUUGUGUAGAAUUCCGCUAUCUAAUUGGCACAAAUCCAUGUUCUUAUCUAUAUUUAACUAAGACAAACUUCACUCUUAAUUGUUCUGCAUUAUGCCCGCUGUAUCCCAUUUGGGUAAACUAUAGUUUUCUACGCAUCAGGGUACAUAAUUUGCAAUGUUUUAUUCGAUAACUCAAAAUCACGACAUCAAUUAAUGCACAAAUGCCUAAUUUUUAAUCAUAUUAUGUCAUAUUGUGCAUGCUUUACUGCCUGUUGCUCUGAGUGAUACCAAACUUGUGUUUGUUUUUCUAAUUUUGCUUGAAAUUUUUUGUAGAAUUUUUGGUAUUUCCAAUUGAUUCGCUUUAUAUAUUUUAUUUGGAGAUCCAAAGCUUUUUUAGGCAGAGAACAAGCCAUUUGCUCAAAUGUUUCAGAAGCAUUUUGCAGAGAUAAUUUUAGAAUUACAUUUAAACUUGUUGAAUGUUAUUUUCUGCAUAAACAGUGCAUAAUUUUCUCCAGUUAGGUUUUGCUAAUUUUCUGCAGGCAGGAUAAUUUGAGCAUCAGGUAGGUUUUGCUAAUUUUCUGCAUAAACAUAGCAUGUUCUGUGAGUUGCUAUGUAUUAUACAUGUUUGAUCUUUGUUGCCUGUAAACAUGCAACUAGUUAAUGACUUCAUAUUUUAUAUUUAUGAUUUAUGCCAUCGAGUUCAAGAAGUUAUAUUUCACGAGUUGAGAAAAAUAAUGAACAGAAAUCUGCCAUUGUUUGACUGAAUUGCUUACCUGCUAAUUGAUUGCAGGGUCACUGAAUAUUUUAACAUGUUCCAAAUGCCUUCUUUGAGCUUGUCUUGAAUAUCCCUGUGACCAUUUCCUCAAUAUGUCAUGCCAGAGAUCUGGAUAUCUGGGCUAUGCAACUAACCUGAAAGUGAUUAAAAUUUGCAUUUAGAAAAUAAAGUAAUCCUCAAGUAAAAUGAAAUAGAUCCAUUUUCAAAUUAAUUGGAUUUUAUGAGAGCAGUCAAUCAAAGAACAAUUUUGCUUAUUUAAUAGCAUAUACAGCAAAUGUUGCCAUGGAAAUGUUUUCUUUACAAAGGAGUUACCAAUUGAUUAUAUUUUUCCUGCUGCAGUAAUGUUUAAUUCAAAAGUGGUCUAUCUAGCUUGAGAAACGGCUAGUCUUGUACCUAUUAUUAUAAGUACGUAAUAUGAAUUACUGUCAUUAAAGCAAUAUUAUUAUACGUUCAAAGAGUUUGAAAGGUUGAUAAUUAGUUGUUAAGAACUUAAAACUGAUUGCUCAAGGACAAUGCACAUAUGUACCUAAUUUAUCCCUUGUUUGUUUGCAGCAUUUCAAGUCCAAUAUGUAUCAACUUUUAAAACCACAACUUGAUAUAUUGCUUUUUGAAAUAAUCUUCCUUUUAUGGGCUUCAAUAAUAACGAUGAGACUUUGGCUUGAAGACCCUCAUGAAUAUGUCAGGAAAGAUUUUUGGUGGGUUGCUGACUUUUUUUUUUUUGGCAAGGCAGAUAUCGUUUUUUAGUUGUCCAGAAAAUGCACCUGUUAUUGUAAAAGUUUUUUGAAGAUCUCUGUUAGGUUAGAAAAACUUAACAACUAAACAUUUUGUCAAAUUCAUUUCUUCUGUAUUGUUUGUUUGGCAUCCUUACAACGUAUGGGUUUUUAAAGAUAUUAUUGAAGAUCUGUACAGUCCACACACUGCAUCCAUAGAUUUCAUUACAAAGCUAGUGCAGAAACAUGGAAAAGAAAACCUCCAUGGAUUCCUUUCCUUUGUUAGGAAUUUUUUUGUCAGCUAUGAUGAGGCAGCUCCAGGCUACAAACCAUAUAGACAGAAAGAUGGCGCUCUUUUAGCCAUUGAGGUCAUAUUUGAUAAGCUGAAGCAGACUGAGCCAUAUAAAUGUCAGCCGGAACAAAUGCUAGUGCAGCAUGCAUUUCCUGAGUUUGGAAAGCCAAGUUGAUCAUUCAAGAGCAAAGGGUCUCAAAAUUGAUUUAUUAUUCAUUACAGUUCUAGAUGAGGCACUGUAUAGCAUUUUCCAUUACACGGGUAUUGGAAGUUGGCAGAAAAUUUGAAAAGCUGUCACCUAUUUCCUGGAAAUGAAAUUUUGUUUCCAAGAAAAAUUUCAGCUUCAGAUCAGUCCGAGUAUGAUGCUAAUAAGCUUGCAGUAAACUCCAUUGCAUAGUUGGUGGUAAUGCAUCUAUCAGUGCUGAAUAUGCUGUCAGCAAAACUAGUGCUGUUUGAGGGGUUUUGCAUCUUGGUUUUUGAAAGCUUGGCUGCACACUUGAAAUGUGAAUUAGAGGGUGGCUUCUCUAAGAGUAAUGAGCUACAUUUUUCUUGUUUUAGUGCUUACAUUUACCCUUACUGUUCAGGCAUAAUGCUAAGCUGUUUGUAUCAUUCCUACCUUGAGACAAUUUAUGAUGUGAUGUACAAAGGAUCCUUCUUGAAUUAAUAAUGUCCCAUACAUAAGCGGGAAUAACAUCCUGAUAUAGGGGACAUAACUGGGGAUAUAGUGGCAGAUAGGGUGUUGUUAUUCAACCCUCCAGAGAGCAUGGUUAACAUCAGUUUUAAUUGAAUUUUCAGGUACACUGAACUUAUUUCCACAGAGACAAGGCCAUGGAAGCUUACUGGAGUAAGGAGCCACUUGAUUUCGUUUUGCAAAAGACCCUUCUUGAAUUUUUACCCUUCUUGAAUUUGUAAUGUCCCAUACACAACCAGCAUGUCCUUAGUGAAGCGAAUUCAAGUGGCUCCUUAUUCCAGUAAGCCCCCGUGGCCUUGUCUGUGCAGAAAUGUGUUCAAGUAUGCUUGGAAGUUUAGUUAAAACUGAUGGUAACCCUGUCUGGAGGGUUGAAUAACAACGUCCUUAUCUGCCACUAUUGGUGGGCAGUUUUUAUUAUUUGAGCCAUUGUUGCUGUUGGAAUGCUCAUAUUUUUCAUGUUUGAGGGAGCAUUGGAGAGAUAUAAUCAUCAUCUUGUGCUGCACCGUCGUCUGUGGAGUGGUUUUAAGUAUGAGCUAUGCACUUCCUAUAGUGUGUCAGCCAUAGCGAAAUAUAUGAAGUUCUCUCCAUCAUGUUCUAAUCAGCUGCUUGUAGAGUCUAAUUUCAGUAUAAUAUAUGUAAUAGGUUUGUAGAGUUUUGGCAUUCCAUUGUUUUUAUACGGUUGAAGAGCAGAUCUUGGACUGUGUAAGCCAUUGAUAAAUAUAUGUAGUUCUUGUCUCCAUUAUGU